GGGGCUGACUUGGCUUCGACAGGAGAGUUUCGCUUUAGGCUGCAUGUCGGCGUGGGAACAGCCGUAAAACUACCCACAACAAUAAACGCAAACAACGCGAAUUAUCGUCCCGCUUACGCCUACGCGGCGUAAUGGACAGGCUCUUUUCAAUCGCCGCGAGAGAUUAGACGCCUUAAACCCCUAGCGGCUUGGGAACGGUUCGUGGCGAAGAUCGUUUCGAGAUUAGCCUGCGUUUCUUCGAGGGUUCGCCCCGCUGGCGCUCAAAGAGACAAAGACAAUCAGCGGGUGUUCUAAACAUGUAGACGCUUAAAGUUUCGCUCUUUUGGACAGGGGUUCGAUUCCCCUCAGCUCCACCA
rnacentral:tmRNA from 1 species